UCUUGCAGUUCAUAAUUGAGAAAACUACAGCCAGGACAAAUUAAGCUGAAUUCACCUUCUCUCAAUCCUGUUCUUUCAACUUAACAAAAUCUGACAAAUCAAUCUAAUAAGGUAUUUCUUUUCAAGUAACUUUUACUAUGUGGAAAGAUUUGCUUCACCAAUUAUGCAGCUGCUAUUUGGAUAAACCUGCCUCCACCCCCAGAAGAGAUGGAAGGGCUGCUUACCCCCUUUUGAGGCCUCAUUUCUUCUCUGGCAUCUUCAAAAGAGGAAAAAAAAGGAAAGAAAAAUGAAGGGAAAGGCUGAGAAAUAGUUUGCAGAAGCUGGAACAAUUAUCCACUGGAUUAAAAUCUCUUUGGGGACAGGAACUGCCUUUUAUUUCUGUAUUUCUAGCAGUUAAAGUGUCUGGAACAUAGUAGGUACUUAAUAAAUGCUUUCUGAUUGACUGAA